rnacentral:rRNA from 1 species
UACGAAGGGUGCAAACGUUGCUCGGAAUUAUUGGGCGUAAAGCGCACGUAGGCGGCUCAAAAAGUCCCAUGUGAAAGCCCACGGCUUAACCGUGGAAGUGCAUGGGAUACUGUUGAGCUUGAGUACUUAAGAGGAUCGCGGAAUUCCCGGUGUAGAGGUGAAAUUCGUAGAUAUCGGGAGGAACACCAGUGGCGAAGGCAGCUCGCUGGGACGUUACUGACACUGAGGCGCGAAAGCGUGGGGAGCGAACAGG